CAGCCGCUGCACCCCUUAUUAUUGACAUAUAUGAGAAAAGUUCACUUGCUUUUCCAGGAUACCUUUCAAUAAGGACCUGGGCAUAAGCAUAAAAACAAUCAGUCCAAUCCUCAACAGAAUUAACAGUAUGGUUUUUCCUAACUUUGUUUUGUAUAACCAGCAUACCGUCAUUAAUGCCAAUGGUGUUUUCAUUUGUUUGACUGUUGAAAUUGUUGUGAAUGCAUAAGGGACAAAUCAAUAUAUUCAAAAUUCCUUAAGCUUUUGACUUAUCAAUAAAACAACCUCAUUUAAACCAGGCAACAUUAGAUGUUCAUCAAAAACUUCAAUAACCUCACCUAAGGCAGCUAAUUUAGGUUCAAUCUCUUGAAUUCUACAUCUGGUUGCAAGGCAACUAGUUGAGGUCCAUCAACAACUCCGUCUUCUUCCUACAGGGGCAUCUUCAUCAAUAUCAACUUUGGGACGCCUUUUCUCAUUCCUAAAUGGUAGUUGAAGUUGUUCCCUGGGAGCCAUUCUAAGACGAAGUCUCCAACCGGGUCCUGCCGACGACGCCUGCCUCUAUCUCUUGGCAUUGUUAUAAAACUAUUAUAAUUAUAAAAACAGAUUAGCUACAUACAUCAAGUCUUAAAAGCCCAUUCAUCUUUCAAAAUAUAAAUUCAACUUCUUAUUCAAUCAUUCGAUUUAGAUAAAUGAAAUACCACAUAUAAC
rnacentral:lncRNA from 1 species